ACUCCUACGGGAGGCAGCAGUGGGGAAUAUUGCACAAUGGGCGCAAGCCUGAUGCAGCCAUGCCGCGUGUGUGAAGAAGGCCUUCGGGUUGUAAAGCACUUUCAGUCGUGAGGAAGGUAGUGUAGUUAAUAGCUGCAUUAUUUGACGUUAGCGACAGAAGAAGCACCGGCUAACUCCGUGCCAGCAGCCGCGGUAAUACGGAGGGUGCGAGCGUUAAUCGGAAUUACUGGGCGUAAAGCGCAUGCAGGUGGUUGUUAAGUCAGAUGUGAAAGCCCGGGGCUCAACCUCGGAAUAGCAUUUGAAACUGGCAGACUAGAGUACUGUAGAGGGGGUUAGAAUUUCAGGUGUAGCGGUGAAAUGCGUAGAGAUCUGAAGGAAUACCGGUGGCGAAGGCGGCCCCUGGACAGAUACUGACACUCAGAUGCGAAAGGCU
rnacentral:rRNA from 1 species